rnacentral:piRNA from 1 species
UAGGAUGAAUGGUUUUUGCUUUGUUGUGU